rnacentral:rRNA from 1 species
UACAGAGGGGACAAGCGUUGUUCGGAAUUACUGGGCGUAAAGGGCGCGUAGGCGGCCGCCUAAGUCAGACGUGAAAUCCCUCGGCUCAACCGGGGAACUGCGUCUGAUACUGGGUGGCUUGAAUUCGGGAGAGGGAUGCGGAAUUCCAGGUGUAGCGGUGAAAUGCGUAGAUAUCUGGAGGAACACCGGUGGCGAAGGCGGCAUCCUGGACCGAGAUUGACGCUGAGGCGCGAAAGCCAGGGGAGCAAACGGG